AAGAGAAGGCAACUCUGCAUCUCAUCCACAACUUUUGACUUGUUUUUGAAAUAUUUCAUCAAAGUAGUACUUGUAAUUAUUCGAUUGAGUUUAUUUUACAUGAUCACUUUUAAUACUCGUUAAUAUACUAUUCGGAUUAUUUGUGUUUUUAGAUUAGGCCCACUUACCCAUUGGAAUUUAUUAUUUUCCUUUUAGGCCCUGUAUCUUCCCCCUGUUCAUAGCACCGUAUUCACGCCAACCGCAUCCCCUAACCCGCCCGCAAGAGAGAGAGAGAGAGAGAGAGAGAGAGAGAGAUCUGUGGGGUCCUGGGGAGAUUAGUAGGUAAUUUGGGAAUUGAAAGAAAAAGUGGGGGAUUGAUCGAUUUUCUGUGGGGAGAGAGUAAAAGGGAAAUUUUUGGGGAUUCCAUAGAUCGAUCUGUGGGGAGAUUUGGGGGAAAUUGGGGAAUUGAAGAAAGAGAGGGGAUUGAUCGAUUUUCUGUGGGGAGAGAGUAAAAGGGAAUUUUUUGGGGAUUCCAUAGAUCGAUAUGUGUGGAGAGUAGGAGGAAAUUGGGGAAUUGAAGAAUGAGAGGGGAUUUAUUGAUUUCGGAAUUGAAGAAAGAGAGGGGAUUGAUCGAUUUUCUGUGGGGAGAGAGUAAAAAGGGAAUUUUUUUGGGGGGAUUCCAGAAAUCGAUCUUUGGGGAGAUUGGAAGGAAAUUUGGGAAUUGAUUGAUUUUCUGUAGGGAGAGAGUAGAAAGGGAAACUUUUGGGGAUUCGAGAGUUCAAUCUCUGGGGAAAUUUGGGAAUUGAAGAAAGACGGGAUUCCGAUUGAUCUUCUGAAUUUUUGGGGGAUUCCAGAAAGAGAGGGCAAUCGAUCUUUCUUCCGUGGGGAGACUAUAGAAGAAGUUUUGGGAGUAGAGAAAGAGUGGGAAAUCGACCGAUCAAGAUCCAGAUCCAGAUUAACUCUCUGUUUCCCCGUUCACCAUCUGGUCACUGCCCAAAAUCAGAUUUUUUUCCCCGGGUAGACUGUUGUAAACAUUUGUUCGAUUCACAAGGACUGCCGGAGCCACUACCGGGAGCUUCUGAAGUGUUACAGGAAAAAAAGGUCAAUGGCUUUUGUCUAUUUCUUGAAAUUGCCCGAUUCAAGUUGCAUUUGUGGUUGAGAUCAUCCUCGAGGAGCUGAGUUUUGUUUACUAUGUGUAAGUAAGACUUUAGUUGUUUAUACAGCUGCGAUUUUUGCAUACACCCUACAUCGCUGGAGCUGAUAUUCUUCACUUUGGCGUGAUUCAAGUUUGAUUUACGUGGAGUAAGAUUUAAGGUUUUAACCCAUGAUUUUCCUGCCCUUUAGACAUGACGAACUGGCAAUUGAGGAACUGCAGUCCUAGCUCUUUUGGUUUGAUUUGUCAAGUAAUGAUUGGGAUUUUGCUCAAAGGGUCAGGUCAUAGAGUUUGAGAUGGCUCUCCCCUACCACUCAAUUGAUAAGUUACUCCUAUAUGUUUUACUGUUUUUUCCUUCUGUGUUUUUUGGUUUCGAGUUGUUUCUUUUUCUUCUUUCUUACGUUUGUGUGAUUGAAUUACAAGGAUUGAACUGAUUUGUUCUUAAAGUAGUUUUAUCCAACAGCUUUAGAGAUCUAUUUUGUUGUUUCUCAGUUUUAUGUUCUUCUCUCUUUCUACUUAUUAGAUCAAUUAGUGAAUAUUUGGCUCUAAGGUCUGUUUCUGAUUUUCUUUCAGUAUCUCCUUUUAAUCUGGUGCAGAUCUCGGCCGUGAGAAAGCUCUUCGGGAUCAUGAGGUAAUUAAUUUGUACAUGUCUUUCAUUCAUUUCUUUGAGAGGUUUUAUUUCUAUUAUUUUUAGUUUGCUUUUGUUUCUUUUACUGUAGUGCUAUCACCGGAAUUUACUGUGUCUUUUUUUUUCGAAAUAAUUUCUCUAUUAGUUUAUUUAGACCAAAACAACAUGGCCCGAUUACCCAAAAGUACGGGAGUGCCUUGUGCAUGUUCCCUACUUUCAUUUUUCAAUUGAAUCAGUUUUUUUCCUAAUCUCCUAAUGCUUCACAUCAUUAGCAAUACAUCUAGUGAUGCAAAAUGGAAAAAUCUUUGGACACCAUUGAACAUAACUUUCUGAAGAUGUGGAUGAGAAAGCUGGGGCCCAUUCAAAUCGAGUGCCAUAUUGACUUAUCCAAAUGAUCAUUGCUUUAUUGACUAUCAAAAUGAUCAUUGCCAUAUUGACUUGUUCUUUUUUCUUUUUCUUUUUCUUUUUUUGAUGGGGAAUGCUUUUGGUUUAACUUGUUGAGCUAAAUUGCUACCAAAUUUUAGAUAUAUCUAAGCAAGAAUAUAGUCUGUUUACCUCCAAUGAAGCACCAACACACCUAGGAAGUCGCCGUAUCCAUGCCGUACGCGCCAGGCACGUCCAAAAAAUACAUAUGUAUACACGGCAAGUCCUAGUCCUUUGAUUUGUUGAUUUCUUUUCGUCCUAAUGCUUUGAUUUUUUUUUUGUCAUUGGUUGUAUAACUCUAGCAAUUUUUAUAUUGCAAAUUUUAUGCCAUCCAAUGAAAUGAAGAGUUGCUAUGUUCUUGAUUUUACUUUUGUAGAUGUGAGUCAUAUGAUGUUCGGCACAACUAUAUCACGGUCAUUUUGUUUUUGUGCAGUUUGCAUUGGGGUAGAGAUUCUGCCGGUCUAAUUGCUAUUUUUGAUAGGACCUUUAGAACCUUCAUAGUACACAUGCUUCAUAGUAUGAAUCCAGGAGUUCUUGUUUAUUUUUUCACAUAAUCUCACUCGCUGAACCGGAUUUGGCCGGUGUAAAGAUUAAUUUUAAAGCAUCACCUUUUACCCGGAUGGAUUGCUGGUGAUUAGUAUUAAUCAAAGACGGAGCUUGGACUUAUAAAGAGGGGAGGCUGAAACUUAGAAUCGAGAAUUACACAUAUUCACAUGGUUGUUGAAUUUUUAAGUUUUCCUCACAUUUGUAAUUCAGGCAUGCAAUCUAAGAAAUAAUGUUUUUCAAGAAAAAUAUAGCCACUUUCUACUUAUAAUAAUUAGCAAAACAUACAUAUACAAAUAAGAGGGAGUAGUUAUUUUCUACUUAUAAUAAUUAGCAAAACAUACAUGUACAAAUAAGGGGAGUAGUUAUUUUCCACUACGUAACCACUUUUAGUUUAUUUCUUCAAAGUUUAGAGGGCCGAUAUAGUACAUUUUAAAUAUUUUUUUACAUUUUAUACUAUACUGGUGUGAUUCUAGCAAGGUUGGGGGAGGCCCGGGCCUCGCCACCAUUGCACUUACCUCCAUCCCUGGUAGUAAUUGGAUUCAUGUUGUAUUCAUAACUGGAACCUCACCCUUGUCAUAUGUACGAUUAUUGUAGUAGAACAACCUAACUUCUUGUGUAUCAUAUUUGGAAUGCAGGAUGACCAGGUUUGUAUAUCCAUCUAGACCCCACUAGGCUGGAAGGACUUGACUGCGUCAAUUGAUCCAAACCAAAUUUCACGGACCAUAACUCAAGCCCAUACCAACCUUUGAGUCGUAGACCAAUGAACUUUCAUGUGCAAAUCCUCUAUGACUCUGUGUUUACAUGAUAUGUGCACAGUGCACUCUUAUACAAGUGGUAUUUGCCUUAGAUUACUUAUCAAAAAAAUGUUAUUUGCGUUUGUUGGCAGAAUAGGCAAUUGAUUCAAAGAUUCCCCUGCUUGGAACAAAUAGGUGAGUCAUGCCCUGCACUUCUCAGUAAUUGUUUUGUAGAAUGUCAGAAAGCCUAAUAAAUUGCUAACUACAAAAUCAACAACAUCCCCCCCCCCCGUCUCUCUCUCUCUCUCACGUACAACCUACUAAGGCCCUAAGCCUUUCUAUAAAACUUUUCUUCAAUGAUAUCUUCUCUGCGAGGUGGUCCAAGACUCUGGCGACGUCAGUUGUUGUUGGGCGACUUGUAUGGGAGCUCUGCACACAGUCCUUAGCCAAGGAUGCCAACUCCUUGGCUUCUGGGUUUUUCAAACCAGUUUUCAGCCACCUUUUUUGGAUCAUCUUUUCAGGUUGAGGGUGCCUGUUGAACUUGUACUUAACUCCUCCACCUCGAGCCUUUGUGGCUGUUAUGACACUCAUUAUGAAUACCCCAAGCAUAUGUAUGUCUCUCUCAGGGCAUGCAGAAUCUGUAGAAUACAAUCAGAAUUAAAACAGGAAUUCAGCAUUAACAUUCAAAAUUCAUACAAAGUAAAAAUUAUUAUCAGUAGACAUAGUUAAAUUCAUCACUCUAUAAAAUGGCAAGGCAAUAACUAGACAUAGUUAAAUUCUACUAGCCAAUGAUAGCGGAUGAAUUCCUCAUUAUCUUUAUAUGAUCUUACUCAUCAAUACAAUCCUCUUAACCUCAGUUUAUUUGGAAUUCAAGGUUAAUUAGUAACUGUACAUGCAUUCUGACAUUUUCCUUCACUUUAGGUGUUCAACAUGUCAGCAGUAGGGCCUUCAUCUGCCAACCAAAGACAGUAGGGUAACCGGUGUUUCAAAGGUAAAUUUCUUUGGCACGUUUGAACGAGCAAUUACAAAUAAACUAAAGACUCAACAGGCGAGGAAAUCUAUGUAGAUCUGUUACCUAUAGUAUAAUCAUCUGCUUGUCUAUUUUUCGCUCUCGUAGGAGUAAAGUAUCUCUUCUCCUUGCCAGCACUUCCGAUAUUCUAGAAGUCCUUUUACUCGAGUAUGUUAUUGUUAAAUCUAUUCCUUCCGUUAAGUCAGUUGUCCUACAUUCACUUGUAUCCCUCGUGGGUACGACACACCCAAUCUGUGCUAGACUCAGCCUUCUGUACUUUUAUUCUUAUGAAUUUGAUCAUCUUAAUGAUCUUUACAAAACCACAGUAUUUAAACUUUUUUUUUUAAUCAUAACCACAGUAUUUAAACUGAUCUUUGC